UGCAUUUUUCCUUUGGGUUUAAGAGGGGUUUGGUUUAAUUAGUAAGAAAUUUAGGUCUUUGGGUACAUAGAUCUUAUUGCAGGUGCAAUCUUUGACGAGGCAAACUCUAAUGUUCUCCCUGUUUGCAUUGUGUUACUUGUGUACUUAAAUUUUUUUCUAGCAAGUAUUUUUGUUUUUUCAAUUUGGCAUCCAAUUUGGCCCCACUAACUACGACUUAAUUGUUUUAUAAGAUUUAAUUUUUUUGGUUUAAUGAUUUAUGUAUGUAGUACGAGAUCCAAAUUGUAAAGUUUUAUGGGCAAAGCUGAAGUGAUCAUUUUUCUGAAGUUAUGGUUCUAGCCUUCUAGGCUUUUAUCUUGAACUUUGGAAUCAUUGACUUAAUGCAUCCAAAGUACUUUCAUUCUUGUUUCUAGCGAAAGGAUUAUGUUGUGUCUUGUGGUUACUAAACUUUGUCAAAUUGGCUGCGCAUCUAUGGGAGAAAGUUGAUUUCUCGUAUUGUGUAUACAGUGAUAGCAAAUUAACAUUCAUUUUUUGGAAAGCAUAAUGCAAUCUAUUUAUAUUAGUCACAUUAUGUUUCAUUGGCAUUUCGAAGUCUGGGCAGAUUGUCACGACUGCUGUUGUUCGUGCUUGAACUGCUACAAUGAGAAACUCCUUUUCAUGGAAGUAAUGCAGCUGGUGAAUGUCAGUCACAGCAGUCCCAACCACAGCAGCCCCAACCACAACCACCCCCAUUGAGGUAUCCCCACAUAAGACAUUGAACUGUGAGAGGGUCUAUCAGUUAAGUAAGGAGAUGAGUUGCUUUUUGGAAGCUAACCAAGAUGGAGUUGCAGACUUUUUGGUAGUUAUUUUUGGAAGCUAACCAAGAUGGAGUUGAAGACUUUUUGGUAGUUAAAUGAAUAACUUGUUUUGAGUUCUUUUUGGAUAUGGAUGUUUUGCAAUUUCGGUAAUGUUGUCAAGUUUGAAGUGGUUAUUGUUGGAGGAUGAACCUUUUAAAAGGUUUUGAAGUUGGACGAUGAAUGGUGAUUUAAUGGAUAUUUGAUUUGAAUGAUA